rnacentral:lncRNA from 1 species
CAAUCAUUAAAAUUGCUAAAAAUGUUAUCACUCACUGUCCCGAAUAUUGUUAUUCUCUCUCUAAAAAGAUUCAAUGCAGAAGAGGCAUGGGUUAUGCAAAAAGAUACGAGGAAAUAAAAAGGGGCAAGUGCCCCGAACCUCGGUAAAGAAAGAAAAAGAGUGAGACGAGAGGUAAAAAUGGACAAGUGUCCGAAGUAGAAUUAGGGGUACAAAAAUGCCCACUUGAGCGGAAAAAAUGGACAAGUGUCCGACAGUAGAAUUAGGGGUAUCUACUACCCACCUGAAAAAAAAAGAGAGAGAAAAAGAUAGCCCAUGUUCUCCCAAAGCAAAGAUCAAAAAGAAGAGGAGAGAUAGCAAUAUGAGGAGCAGUGAGAACUAAGAUUUAUUAACACUAUUGCAUUUUCACCAUCACUAUCAUUUACUCCACCACACAUGCACAUCUUGAUUUAAUUAUAUGCUG